GGUUUAAGAGAAUGGACUGUGAGUAGGAAAGACCCAGAGUGUCGGCAGCUCAGAGGGUAUGAAAACCUGGGCUGCAUAUGCCCCUUGCCAAUAGCUACUUCAUGAUUAUGACACAAGUGGCAUUUGUACACAGCCUGCACUUCAGCCCCCACUACUGUGUCCUGCAAGAAUUCCUCCCUGUGUCAACAUCGACCUGUGCACAAACCACACUCAGUUCUCUCCCAACUCUGAACUACCUGAGCCCCUCUGGAAUCUGAGAAGUGGACCUUGACCUGGCUCUCUUCUAGCAUACAUCCCUUGCAGGUAGAUUCCUUGUGGGAAGGUACCACUAAGUCUCUAGCGGACUUAUGCAUCAACCAUGUCCUUGUCCCAACUUGGAGAGGCCAAGUGAUGGCCAACAAAUAGUGACUUGCAUGACAAGGACUCCAGAGAUGGAAAUGAACCCUAAGACAUAGGCACCUGCCUGAUCACACCAUGGCUUAGACACCAUCUGCAGCCACAGGUUUGAGUUCCCUGGUUCAUUUUCAGCCAUGUGUUCUUGCUUGUAGAAUUCCCUCAGGCCACACACUUGUAUGAAGAUUCCUCUGGGGCAGCCCAGCUAGCCAGGGCAGCUUUUAUGCUGACCUUCUGUUCUGUGUGCCUUCCAUUCCCCUCAAAGGCUAAGAGAUAGCCCUGCCUGGCCUUUUCUCCAUCUUCACUGUAAGAUGUGCUGUUGUCUAACACUCUCAUAACUGCCUAUAGCCUGGGGAUCCACUUGUUCUGCAUCCACCCCUCUGAGCUUAAACCCUACUGAAUUCCUGAAAAAAGAGUGAUAGGCAGAGCUUUGUGAAAAGCAUGCCUGCAGGGAGCUAUAUCACCUGUGUGACACCGGGGACAGUCACCUUCCACUUCUCACCUUUCACUUCACAGACAAGUAAGCUCGAAUCUGGCUUUCCACCAACAUAUAAGCCAGCCCAGACGGACUGCUUGCUUGCACAGGUGUAAGCAGGCCAGGCUGAAUCCUGGGGACAUGAAAUAUCACUUGGUACCUCACUCGGUAUCCUCAUGGCUCCCACCUACCACCACUCAGGUCAGACACAACAAAAGGACAGGUUCCAAAAGAAAAACACAGUGCCUUGAACACAGGUAGCCAGACUCUUCACACCACCCUCAGCACCCCAUACUGAAGUAGUCAGCACAGUGGAACACUGGUCAGGGGCCCAGCAGGUAUGUGGGAGGGAGCAAGAAAGAGGGAAGGGACAGUCACACAAGAGAAAGGAGUCAAUGGUAAGGAAAGAUGUCCCUAAGAAUAAGGGUUCUAUUUACAAACAUCGCUAUACACUCUAGCAAGGAGCUUAAGCCUGUGCCCAACAGGAUGGCUCUCAGCUCUAUGACUCCACCUAUCUCGAAGCAUGGAGGCUUUCUACGUUUCUUGGGUUUUAGUCCCCUCUGCUCCCAGCCUAACAAAGUGGUUCAUGAAUCCUCCUUACUAGCUCCCUGUCAAGAUACCAAAGGAGGAUAUCAUGGCAGAUACCUCGCCAGAAACUGUCAGCAGAUGUACAGCCUGUAUUAUUUUAUUUUCACUAUUUUAUUAUUUUUAAAACAGCAUUAAAAUAGGACCAGCUGUACUCAGAUUGCCAGAAGCCCAAUCUGGAGGCCAUCUUACAAUGCAGGUCUUUUCUUCUAAGAUGCCAAACCACUAUGCUCCUUUUGUGGUCACACAUCACGCUACAUAGGCAUCCAGGACACCAGGAGCAUUAGACAUGACCUACCCAGCUGUCUGACUGGAGACCUAAGCAGCUCUUCAACACAAUGACUAACACACAGAAAAGCUAACACAGGAGAGAAAACAGAAUAAACAAGGUGACGGUCUCUAGCUCCACACCUGUCAGACUCUCAGCUAAGGAUGUGAAGAACUUCCUUUGGCCGGGACUAAGAACAGCCAACCGUGUGUACUACAAUGACACUCUUUCACGUUUCCCACCAGCUCCGUGUGAGACUGGCCAGAAGGCGGGGAGUGAUUGCAAUCCUGAAGCAGAUACACAUUUGAACUGCUUGAGGGCCGGGUAAUGACUCAGCCUGUAAAGAGCUUGCCCCAGAAGCAUGAAGACCAGAGUUUAACCCCCAAAGCCAUACUUAUAACAUUGGAUAUGGCAUCAUGAACCUAAAAUCCCAUUAUUAGAGAGGCAGAGACGGGAGGAACCCUGGGGGCUCCCUGGCCAGCCUUGCUGUGCACGUGCACACACACCCACACCCACACCAUAUAUCCACACACACACACAGCUGUAUCUUCAGCAAGCUAUGGUUCACAAAGACAGUAAGUAGGAGUAAGAAAGGAGCGGGAGAGAGCCCAUUCUUCCAGAACCCAGUACAGACCUCUGGUCUCCAGUGGGAUGAGACCCAGGGAAAAAAGCCCUGUUCCUUACUGCAGUGAAGGACAGAACCUCCAAAGAACUUUCCCAUGUUCUUCAGGAGGCACACUUGCAACAUUUAUUUAUUGAAGAUACAAUAUAACAAAUACAUAGUACACAUCAAUGAAUCCAAUGGGGACCCCCUCCACAGGAAGCUUACCUAUAAGCAAGGGGGAAGGACCACAAGCAAAAGAUAGUCUAUCGAUAAGCAUAUUGACUACUGUGAGAAACUCAGGAACCUGGGGCUGGGUGGUGGGAGGGGAGAGGGUGCCUACAAUGCAUGCCUUGCUGCUGCACUGACUGGAUUAUAGGUCAGCAAAGCCUGUUGGAGGGAAGGGAGGAGGCAGCCUCAUAGCUAUAGACAAUAAGGUGGGCAUGUACCCACAUAUUCCUUCAACCUCUUCAGCUAGGAUGAGCUAGGGCUAGAUGCCAGCGGGUGGGAAGGAGCGGGACAAAUGUGGGGGCAGAGGGAAGGGUUUGGGACAGGUCAUAAACAGCUUGCCUGCCAUUGUAAGGACUGUGGGGUCUAUUCUAAAUAGCUAGAGAGGCACAGCUGGGAAGUCUCACUUUGGUUUGAAUGGGAUUACUAUAAACAACAGACUAUUGGGGAAACACUAGAAACUAGUUAGGGGGCUGUGGAGGCAACCCAAGCUAAUCGUCUUGGGAGGGAAGAGUGUGGCUACAAUACAUGCCUUGCCGCUGGGUUAUCAAGGUUAUAUGGUUCUGCAGAGACCUGGCUGAGACAAGGAGGCAGCCUUGUAGCUAGCUAAGGAAAAGCAGUUCAGAAGGAAAAGCUUUCACAAAGACAGUAAGGUGGGCAUGUUCCCAUCUACUCUACAACCCUGUUCAGCUAAGAUGGGGUAAGGAUAGUGCCAAAGGGAGGGAAGGGGGGGGUAAAGGCACAGGGGUGGGGUAGGGGUAAAUCCAAGGCUGCUAAACACUGGGAACAUUAAAAACACAGAGAGGACAGAAGGUACUAGAGUGCUAAGCACAGAGAGGAAAGAGAAGAGUUAGACACGACUCGGAGAUAUCCGAGACUGGUGUUUUCUUUAACGGAUCCUGAGAAGACUGGAGUGGAACCUGGUUGAGUUCUGAAGGGACUGGGUACAGGAGAGGAUCUGCACGCUGGAAAGUAGGCCUGUCUGAGCCCCCUUGGAGCUCCGGCCGUGCGGAAGCCUUCUCCUCCAGUCAGUACUGAAAGCUGAGUGUGCCACAAGAUCCUUGCAAGUGUGGCCUGGCAGAGAGGAUCGGGCAGCCCCGAUGGGUGGGAGCCCAGAGAGUCCCUCACUGCUCACAAGCAGCAGCUAUCGCUGCAAACCCAAGCCAACAAGACGACUCCCAGAUCCUCCCCAAGCGAUGUGAUCAAGACUGCUGUGGUCCUUGGGGUACGCUGGGAGUCCUGCUGCAAUCCAAAGAGGAAGGCUAAACACCUGGGUCCUUGGUGCAUCCCCCCGAUACACACACACACAGCCAUAAUCCAAUAUAUGCAGUUGGCAGAGUUACAAAAACACCUGCCCGGUCUUCAGUAAACACCCCAAAGUACAGCAUUCUUCGCUGGGUAAGGAUACCCAACCAUUUCCUUGGAGCUGAAGCAUCCAUCCUAAAAGCCACAGCAUAAAGAAAGCCAACUGGUUAAUGAGUCUGCAGGUUCUCUAUGUCACCAUCCUAUGCAGACAUCAACCCAGGAACUCGGUGCACAGCCACUGCUGCCCAAACGAGGAUGCCUUGUCUGCAGAUAGCUCCACUGUGCCUCAGCAGCGUGGCAAGGACGUCUGCCUGGUCUCUUCCACACAGCCACAGCCAUGAGAGCAUGAGGCACCCAAGUGGAAUCUCACUAUAGCUCUGCACUUUCACCGUCUUUGGGGCAAGGACAUCUGCCAAGGGGAUCGGUGAUCCUCACAGCCAUCUAUAAGGCAGUGACAUCAGGUCAUGCUGCUCCCUUGUAAGAUAAGGAUUGCUGGCCGGGUCCUUGAUCAACCCUUGACCACAGGGUAAAACCCUCCACUGGCAUCCUUGGUGCUCACUCAAAGCAGUGCCGUCGUCACAAAGAACAGAAAUCCAAAUACCUUUUGAAUGGGACACAACAUGGCUUCCUGAGGGCAAGGAAGCACUCCUGGGUCCUCCACAUGUAGCAGCAUCCAGACAGAAAUUUGGCUUGGUUUGUUCACACCUUUGCUGUACCACCAUACAAAAGACAAAGAUGUCUGCCGAAGUCAUCUCAGUGCCUAUGGCACCCACCCCUGCAGCCACAGAGAGGUGAGAUGCCCUUCUGAGUUAUCAUAACCCAGUGCUGCUGUAUAAACCCCAGCAUAAAGAUGUCUGCCCUCCAUCUUGAGGGUAGCAGUGCUGAUGCAGCCACUCAGUAGGUGCAGUGAGCUCCUCGGGAAAACCAUCCACGGUGUAAGAAUGCCACCCCAGGCUUUGGCUGUGUGUAUGCAGCUGUGACGAAGCCUGCAUGGCUAUAGAGCCUGUCUGGGUCCUUAGCAUGCCACUCAGUGUGGCUAUCCACAGAGUAAAGGCUCCACUGGGUCAUCCCCCAACCCUCAGGACAAAGCCAUCUGCCCAUCUCCUUGCUGUGAGGCAUUCUGUGGGAAUAAAGUGCCCUGAUCCGAACAAACAAAUACAUCUGUGACACAGGUUGGCAGGUUUGAAAUCCCACCCACGUUCUUAGUCUGUAGAGUAUGGACCCAAGAAUGCAACUAUUCACAGAAUAAGAGAAAUCCAGUGGGUGAGCAGGGCUCCAAGGUGACACAGUGCUGCACAAAGCUGAGGUCGGCCAUCCAGCUUCCAGCUGUGCCUCUGCCUACACACAGAGCAAAAUGACCCGCCCAGAUCCUGGGGAAACAGAUGCAGCCGUGAUGGGCGCAGCCUUAACAAUUCCAGAUCUUAAUGUGCAGCCACAACAAUGAGGCUACCAUCUGGGCAAGGGCGCUCCAUUGUGCCUUCGUCCCCAAGAUAAGGGUAUCUGCCUAGAUUCUUAGUAUACAGCCAACACAAUGGAACAGUAAAAGGACGCUUCUCACUGUGCCACCAGCUCCAAAAUAACAUCAGCCUGGAUCCUUAAUGCCCAGAUGCUGCAAUGUAUAUAUCCACAUGGUAAAGAUGAUCGCUCUUACCAUACCCAACCUUUGUAUGCAGCUAUGGCCACAGAGUGGCCUGCGGGGUCUAAAUACUCCACCUCCAUUCCCGGAAUAAAAUCUUCUCUGAUCCUUAGUACACAGCCACCACACAAAGGAAGGAAGGACGUUUCACAAUGCCCUUAUCCUUAGGGCAAAAUAAAUAAAUAAAUAAAUAAAUCAAAGAAGCCCAAAUUUUUAGUGUGCAGCAGUCACAAUGUAGUUACACUCAGGGUAAGGAUGCUCAGAAACACCAUCCUCGGGAUAAGAUCCUCUUAGGCUUUUCAAACGCAGCUGUCAAGAUGCACUUAUCCACAAAUACGGGUUUCUGCUAUACCAACAUCUCAGGUUAAAAUCCACUCGGGCACUUGGUGCUCAGCCACCACAAUGCAGGCAUCCGCCAAGUAGUUCAGACUCUGUUAAACCAUCAUCCAAAAUAAGGAUAUCCAUUUGAUUCCUUAGUGCGCAAGCAGCAGCCAUAUAGGGUGAGGCACUCUGAGGUUAUCUGUGCACAGCUCUGCUGCGCCACCAUCCGCGGGGAAAAAAAAUAUCAUGCAGAACCUUAGUGCGCCACCAAAACCAUUCAAGUGAUCCACCCUCUAAGGUUGCUUCGUUGGGUAUCCGUGCGCAGCUCCACUGUGCCUCUAUCCCCAAGGUAAGAACAUCCGUUCAGUCACUGAAGUGCAGCCACAAAUAUAUGUAAUUCCCCAGGAUUAAGAUAACAAAGAGCUGUACAGGCGUUGGCUGGGUAACGGCAUACGCCCAAGUCCCAGCCAAGCGUGGAGACCUCCAUGGCUCAUCAUUGUGCUACAACCACAAUGCGCCUAUCCACAGGGUGAUGGCGAGCCUCUGUGCUAGCGUCUCCAGGGUAAAAAGAUCGGCCAAGCUCUCCGUUGCAUCGCAAGCUGCAGGGUUCUGUGCUCGAAGGUAUCUCAACGCUCGAAGGUAUCCUCGCACGAACUGCACCGACACAGAUAUCUGGGCUUUUUCUGUGCCUCCUUUUGCCCAUUCCUCGGUCACCACCACAAGUGAAAAACUCCCGGCUCCGCGGCAGUGUCGCAGGUCUUCUAUCCAACCAUUUUCAGAGUAAAGGCCGCGGAUCUUCCCGGAGAGCCGAAGCUGGCCGGAGAGCCGCGGCAAUGAUCGUCUACAUAGCACCAGCGCUUGGAUGAGCUAUCACACAAGGCCUAAAAUCUCAAUAAGAUGGGCUAACAAGCCACCGGGUCCUCUUCGGUUCGUGGUCACAGAGCUGUAGUAAAGGGGUUCGCUCAGCUUCCAGCCGUGCCGCAGUCUGCAGUCUUUAGAGACGUCUGUCGAGAUCUGGAAUGCAGGCAGCUGUGACGCAGUCUGCUGGGCGAGUCCGCUCAGACUUCAGUGCGCAGGUGCGGCAAUGCGGCAAUCUGCUCGGUGGAGACACAUUCUGCGGCGCCCUCUACCGGGUAGGAACGCCAGUCCACGAGGCCGGCAGCCCACACAAUGAGGCCCCACAGUUGAUCAGAAUGGUUCUACUGAGGUAGCAACCCUUAGGGUAUCGGUGCGCAGCCACACUGGAUGGAGACUUGCAGCCUAAGGGUGCUCCACUGAGUUGGCAGGGAAGGCUAUCCACACAAAUACUCGGUACACCGCGGCCAUGGCAGCAAGGCAGUCAGCGGAUCUCAGUGCGCAGGCGUGGCAAUGCGACAGAAUGCACUUUAAGAAUGCAUUCUGUGGUGCCAUCUAGCGGUUUUACUUCUCUCCUCAGUCUUCGGAUCAUGACAGGGUAAAGCUGGGAUGGAAGGAAAGGCCCUGUAUACGCAGAGAGGCCUUCUGAGGAAGCCAAGCCUCUUAGUAGCAGAAGCAGGAGAAGAGACUCAUAGGACAUUGAGGUGAGUCUCGCUUACAUGGAUGAUACACUUUGAGGGGUAGUUCGGUGCUCUUUGCAACCUGCACAGUGUGGCUGGAUCCCCGUGUCCAUUUCAUUGAGUUGUGGGAUACAGAAUGUUUCUUCAGAGCCAGCAUGCUGUCUAGCUUACCAAGGGGACACAACCAAUAGAAAGAAAAAAGAAAUUGGGGAAAAAGCAAACAGCCAGAGCAAUAUUGGUGAAAGGACCCCCAACAACCCUCUGCUACACCUCUCCCAAUCCUACAUGAGUCCCAGUGCAGACUGAUGGCAGAGGAGAGCAGCUCUCCACUGUGCUUACCGCAGGGACUCCCUCCCUUCUUGGUCUAAUCAGUUCUUUUCUGGACCACUAAGGAGAGUUUAGGAACCUCCUUUUUACAGAAGCAUCUGGGAUUCAAUACUAUAGGGCUAUUUCUGCACGUGUAAGCCAGACUAGCAACUGGACCUCCUCAGUGGAUCCUGGGGAAUGUCGGGGGUUGGGGGGAGCACCCAGAAGCAAGGGCAGGUCAAGAAAGGAAGACAUUAGAGAGGGGGAGAUACAUGAAGUGAAGGACACAUCAAGGAGACACAGGUGUUCCUCAAGGAUACUUCUCAGUUGCUAUAGACACACACACAUGGGCCUCCAGUGAUUUAUGAAGAUAAUAGGUUCGUCGUGGGAAGGGGUGUAGGAGAGUUACAGCAGCUACAGAGCCAGGUGUGGUGGCACACACCUAUCACCCCAGCACUGGCUGAAGUAGAAGUUCAUGUUCAAGGCCAGCCUGGACUAUAGAACAAGUUUGAGGCUAGCUUGGACAUAUAGUGUGACUCUCCCAACAAGGCCAUAGAUCACUGAUGACUUAUUAGCCAAGUUACUUAAAGGCCACAACUCUGAAGCAGGCAGCUUUGGUGAAGCUGUGUUUGGAGGGAAAGAAGGCUACACGCCUGCUCUCUGAGAGGGCAAUGCUUACUUCAGCACUGCCUGACGAAGAAGCUGACGUGGUACUUCUUAGACAGCCUCACAGUACAGAAGCUCUGUUCCUUUCUAUCCUCUAGGCCUUUGGGGAACAGUGCUAAGCAGCCAUAUGGACCAAGUUCAAGCUCCCAUAGCUACCUCUGCCAGACUUGUCCUGCCAGUUACCUGUGCUACACUAGAACAAGGCUCCAACCCAUAUGUACUAAACUUGCUUGCACAGAGUCUCAGAAAGCCGUUAGAUCAUUUCUACCCUGCUAGCAAGAGGUGGCAUCCAGACUGGUGAGAAUAUGGCUUACAGGGAAUGCAAGAGGCCCUCUCCUCCUCCUUCUUUCCUUCCGCAGCACCCCACACCCACACCCCCACCCCACCCCACCCCACCCCACCCCCGCGUGCAUCCUCUUUCCAACAAAGAUGCUACAAUGUUAGGCUUCCUGCUUCCUCAAUGACUCAGUGACACAGGGAUAAUUAGUGACAGCACCCACAGGCUUCAUUUGCAGAUCUCCAGGGAAAGGGUGACUGCUCAAAUAGUGUCUGACAUGUAAUAAACACUCCACGAACAUAUGGUAAAUUGACAAAUGAAUUGGAAAUUCAUUCUGAGCAGUCAGCUCUUUGGAGCCCUCAACUAAUGCUACUGAAUCUAUCUCCUCCCUGCCCCCAUGUCACUAGGCAUGAGUCUCAGAGCCACAAGAACAACCCUUUCUGCUGGAGGCACCAUGUCUUCCUUCCUUCCUUCUCUGGGACCAUGUGGCUUCCUUAUCUUAUGGAAGACCCCCCCCCAGGGUGGCACAUCCUUCCUUUGUGCCUCCCUCCUCUGAACAGCAAGAUGUCCUUCCUUCCUGGGAUUAGUGCAUCCACAUUUCUCCCCAUGCCUUCCAGAGUUAACUUCUACUGAGGCAGCUCGUCCUCUCCUGCAUGGAAGCCAGUGAGGCAGUCCAGGAUGGGCCACUCUACUUCCUCAGUCUUGAGUGAUCAGGAGCUUCCACCCCAGACUUUCUCUGGAACAGCAAGGACAGGGGAAGAUAACUCACUGGGCCAAAUUAGACUUUGUAGUCAUUACUUUAAAAAAAAAAAAAAAAAGUCUGGUAUUCAGAUCAAAAGGAAGCACAGACAAAAUGGGCUGAGCUCAACCUUGAGAACAAAGUCAAGGCUAGCGCUGUGCUGCCGGGGUCUCCCUGACUCAUUUGGAGCCUAAACAAAGGGCAACCACACCAUCCAAGCCAAGGUCUGUGCCCCAGGAAAAAGAGCUAGGUUUUUAGUUUAUUCUCACUAUGUACCCCCAGGAAAGCUGUAACUAAAGAGGCACCUCAGAAACCUACCCCACAAUGCCUGUUAGACUUGUCUGGGGGGUAGGCAUGAUGUCUGCCACGGGCUCCUGGCUGAGGGACCUGGUCUCACUGCAGCUGUCCCAACAAGAAGCAAGUUGGACCGGCCGCACCUCCCCAUCAGGCCUAGAAGGUGAGUCAGUGCCAGGCAUGGGGAAGCUGUUGGGAGGGUGCCACAAAAGUGAAGGGAGAGAGGGGACUCUGGGCAUCUGCACUCAUGAUCUUUAUGAACAAAUGGUAAUUAGGAGACUCCUGCCAGGAAACAUCCAUAGCAGGCUUCACAGGCUCAAGUUCCAUGCAGAUGCUCAAAAUAUAAACCUUCCUUCUCCCCAUUCCAUAGGCAUAAGUUUCCCUGCAUCCCAAGAGUAGCUCAUCACCUGGCCCAGCGUUCAGGAGGGAGAAACAUUUGCUGGAGUCCAGCUCUGACCCUGUCUCAAAGAGGAAUUCUUGCCCUGAGUUCCACGGGCUCUGAGUGGUGACAACUCCAAGGCACUCACUAAAAAGAGGUACAGUAGGAACGGCCAGUGGCCUUCCUAGAAACUCAGGGUAGGCUUCAGCCAUGGUACACCGCAGGCAGAAGCCUCACCAGAUACCUACCCUUUCCACCACUCAGAUGUCAAGCCCAGAUCACCUGCACUCCUUUCUCCAAUGUGUUAGGGCUGUGACUGGCUGGCAUCUGUGUAAUAACUGUCUUAAUAAUAGUUUUAGGCCCACCUUAGUCCUCCUGAGGGUCGUUCCUCCCCACUCACUCUCUGUCACUCUGUCUGUGUCUGUCUGUGUCUAUCUGUCUGUCUCUCUCUGUCUGUCUGUCUCCCCUUGUCUCCAGACUAGGCAUAGGGUUGUAUAUUGGAGGAAAGCACAUACAAGGAAAACCCUGCCUCCAGCUGUUGGUAACAAAGACCUAGGUGGUGGCUUCUUAGGAUGAUGAGCAGAAUGUGUCACCGAAUGUGUCAAUACAAGGAGGCCCCAAGUUGGCAGCAGGGCAGGCAGGAAAAGGGCACUCAGUGGGGAGUGACAUCUGAGGACUCGAUGCCUAUCAGUGUAGAAAAGGAUGCUGGAAGGAACAGUGCACUGGUCCCAGGCAAGUGACAAGAAUGUACUAUGAGAAGAGAUGGGGACGGCCAUCGAGGAAGGAAGGAGGCCUGGGAACCCUGGGGGACUUUAUUCUGAGAAACAAAGAGGUACGAAGAGACAAGCGAAGGAAGUGCUGAGUGUUCAAAUGUGAAGCGAAACACAGUUACGUAGACCUAUACAAUGUGUGUUCAUGCACGCAAGCUGAUAGAUCAUAUAUAAAUUACAUAGCAGACUUUCUCUGGGUGGUGUCUGAAUCACGGAUUCAUAAAAUGUGUGAGGAUGAAUUGGGAAGUUUAAUCCACCUCAAUCCCCUGUCCCACAUAAGGAAACUGAGGCGUGGUAUGACUAGUUCUUCAACAUUAGCUCAUCUGCCACACAGCUAUUUGGAAACCCAGAAUAAUGGGCCAGGGUAGAUAUGUCCAGCCUGCGCACGCAGUGGCCCCAAGGCUCAGCUGUUGUUACCCUUCUUGAAGCCACGCAGCUGUACAUCAUUGACCCUCUCCUGACGAUCUGAUCACUUCUAUGUCCCCACAGUACUCGACACAGAAAAGGCACUGAAUAGAAUGCAUCUGUAUGGGCUUCUGGAAUUUGGUGCUCCCUUUGCCUUGAAUCCACCUCCCCAGACUCCAUUUACACCCCUUGUAUUUCCUGAGUGGGUGGGUGUUCCUGGAGCCACCUCCCCAGACUCCAUUUACACCCCUUGUAUUUCCUGAGUGGGUGGGUGUUCCUGGAGUCUGAAGUCUACAUAACACAUAUAGACACACAGCAGACAAGCGCACAGUUAACUGGAGCUUGUGGUCCAUGUCUCUAUUGCCCACUGCACCUGGACUGUUCUGCAUUAAGGCUCUGUGUGAAGGUUCUGCUAUGAAAGCUACCUUGGCAAAGCAUCCUAUAGCUACGAAACUUUCAACGACCACCCACUGGGGUAGAUUGCUUUCUUUCUUUUUCAUAAUUCAAGAAGCCAUUUUACUCACUAAAAGCAGGAACAUUUACAAGGCAGCUGUAGAUUUUGCCUUUCCAAUCUGGAAGGAAAUGUGAUUACUAAAGGCCUCUAGGUGCAUGUUCAAAUCUUACAGAACUUACGUAAUGAUAGGCAGAGCAUAUGGGCAGGUGUGGGCGAGCUCAGCAGGUCUUCCCUGUGCAGGGGACACAGCCCAGAGAUGGCUAAGGCUAAGCCCCUUGUCCGUACUCAUCUGGGGAGUGCCAGGAAUUGAGCCGGGUGAGAACAAGCUGAGUGACUCCGGAGUGGACAGGGCCUGUCCUGAACAAGUGGCAUAUGCAGUACACUCUAGUUACAAAAGGAGAGUAUUAAAGACAAAGCUGCUGCCACCUGUCCACAGGUUGGGCCAGCAGGGCAACACCAGACACUUCAUUUUCAAAAUGUGAAGGGAAAAACAGAUAUACCACUUAUCUAUACUGAUACACUGUGUGUGUGUGUGUGUGUGUGUGUGUGUGUGUGUGUGUGUGUAAUGCACACAUGCGUGCAUGCAUGUACACUCAUAUAUAAACAUAUCUAUCGUAUUUAAAAGUUCAUCUGGACAGGGACUGGGUCUAGUCCUAACAAACAAGAAUUGUCAGUCAUAAAAAUUCUAAAGAGGCCUAGGGAGAUAAUUCAGUUAGUGAAGUGUUUGUUAUGCAUUGAGGAGCUGAGUCCUAUUCUCAGAACCUUCUCUUUUGGGGGCUGGCAGGGUUAGACAUGGCUCAGUAGUUAAGACCAUUUGCUAUCCUCAAGGGGGACCCAAGUUCAGGUCCCAGUACUUUCAUGAUGGAGGCUCACAAACACAUGUACUCCCUGUUCCAGAGGCUCUAACAGUCUCUGCAGGCCGUCAUGGGCACCAGGCACAGGUGUGGGGCACAUGCAUACAUGCAGGCAAACCACCCAUGCUCAUAAAGUAAAAAUUAAAUCAAACUUUUUUUCUAAUGCCUGAAGUGGCAGCACAGCUUUACAAAUGCAGUGCUGGGGAUAUGGAGACUGGGGGGGGGGGGUGUCUUAGGGAUCCUAGCUGGGCAGCCAAGCCAACUUGGCAAGGUUCGGGCCAGUGAGAAAUCCUGUCUCAGGCAAACAAGACAGAUGACACCUGAGGAACAACACUUCAGGUUGACCUCUAGCCUCUACAUGCAAAUGUUCUCCCUCUCCCUCCCCUUCACCCUCCCUCUCCCUCUCCCCCUCUCCCUCCCUCUUACACACACACCUCCUGAAGAAAAGACAGGCUGUACAAGUUAAGAAAACAACAUCUACUCUACGCUAUACCCUGUGUGUACAGAAGGAAUUGGGGACAGUGGGAAGGAACAGAGAAGCCAGAUCAGCAUCCAGCACAUCCUAUCCAGCACAUCCCUUACAAAAACUGUGGGAUGCUGGGCAACCUAAUAAAGCUCUCAAAACAUCUGUCUCCUCAUUUGCCAACCCAGAACCUUUCCACCUGACAGCAUCAGCCACAUGCCACAUCUUGGGACACAAAGCCCCGAUUCCUACUCUAAUGAACACCGGGGAGGGUCACUACAAUCCUGCUUGGUAGAUUCAGCACAGAAGCCUUGUGAAAAUUAAUGACACUUAAAUCCUUGAGGCUAAACAUGCCCCCUGUGUCCCUGUAACCCUGCCUCUGGUCUGCACUGUGCUGCAGGGGGAGGGCUUAGGCAAGAGUAGCUCCAGGCUCUCAGCACUCUGUGCUUCCAGCUGGACCCAGCCUGUGCAUGAAACCAGCAGAAGGCAAGACAGGAGAAUGCGCAUGGCCAGAAAAGAAGCCCUACAACCCACAUGGCUAGCACAGGGUACCAGUGGCCUGGGGCCAGCUCGGAGAGGAACACCCAGAAUAGAUAAUCCUCAUAUGCUAAACCUAACUGCACAUGGGAGUCAGGUGACUGGAGAUCAUCGGAUUCUUGGGUCUGGGGCUAAGAACCUUCCAUAUGAACUGAGGCAAAGCACAGAGGGGAAGACACUGAUGGUGGUAUAUGUGCCUCUCUGGUGAGAACCAGGCAGGGUACUUGGUCCUGAAAUGUGAGCAAUAUGGCCAGAUUAAUGCACAGAAAACAGAGGGCCGAUGAAAUGCCCUGAAAGAUUUGACAUCCGAGUGAUUUCUAAACAGAAGCAAGUUUUCCCUGUGCACCCCAGCCCACUCCAUCAAAAGAACACUUUAAUAAGGCGAGUUCUGCAGGAGGCUCAGCACGGGCAUCGCAGCAGGACACAGUGGUGUGUUUCAUAAGAUAUUCAUGCUUCUCUCUAGAAAAGAACAUUUUGGGGAAGUGGGAAGCCCUUCUCCUUUAUCAACCUGGUCGUUUUCAUAACCAGAGAAGUAAUAAUAGAGCAAAUGUACCAGAAGUUUCUGCUGUGUUUGCCUUAAGGGAGAAAGGAGGUGGCAGGGAAUUCUGGGUGAUGAGAGUACUAUAAUAAAUUAAACCUGAUAUCAUACACCAAGUGAUGGGCAAGGGGCUGUGAUGUGUGACUUUUAAUCUGCUGGGCUCCCAAUCUCCACGAGAGCCAUGGCUCCAGCUGCUGAGAGGUAGGUAGUUCUUGUCCUGGCCUUACAAUGCGUUGUUAGAAUGUCCUCUCGAGCCCCACUCCUUUCUUUGCAUAUCACCAGCCAAGCCUCAAGCUGGUCUGACUUGAGAGCUCUAGGUUCUGUGCUGCUGCUUUUUUUUUUCCCAGUUGCUCAAAAAUAGUCUUCACCAACUUCUGUUUGCUGUUUCUUAACCAGUCACUUGUUCACAGAAUGUUUACUGAGCAGCUAUAGGUCAUAAUUUAAAAGUGGUGUCCCGUGUAGGACUAUGUGUGGAACAGGGAAAUGGGUAAAGGAAAAGUGGUGUGGCACAGGACACAGACCCCUGGUUAAGGGACCUUCAUCUGAGGAAGCACAAGACACUAUCAUCGUAGGUAGUGGGUGCUAAUGUCUUAGAGGAGUGUGCCUGCUUCAAGAUCCACUGCAGGGUGGUAAAGGCUCAAGAUGCAGACAGAACAUGGGCAUGUGUGAUGCUGUGUCAAGUACGUUUGGGGUUGAAACAGCAAAAAGGACUGUAUAUACCCAAGUAUGAUGCUGGGAAGGCAGAAAUAAUGACGUGCUGGCCUUGCUCCAGGAUAGCCAGUUUGCACAGGUGGAAGCUGGGUGAGGCCAAUGCUAUGAGGAUUCCACAAGAGAGCUGUGCACAUCCAUCGGCAGGAGCACACAGAUGUGUCAGCAGACAGACUUGAACCGAGUUCAGAUGGCAUGGUUGCCAUCACUUGCUGUGGUGAGAAUAACUUUUCAAACAGCAAAGCCAUUGCGUGGUCACUUCCCCAUUAAGGAUGGGGAAAGAGACCCCGCCCUUUCCCUGGCUAGGCCUGGUCUCUGGCUCCACUGGAGGCCCUGGGGGAGAAGACAACGUGGCAUAAGGGUUUAGUGGCAAGGAAUCUUUCUUCUGCUUUCUGCACCAUGGAGUCCUCCUUCUUACACUAAUACAAAGACAGCUCUUCAGGAUUCUAUAAAAAAAAAAAAAAAAAAAAAAAAA